GAUGAAGAACGCAGCGAAAUGCGAUAAGUAAUGUGAAUUGCAGAAUUCAGUGAAUCAUCGAAUCUUUGAACGCACCUUGCGCUCCUUGGUAUUCCGAGGAGCAUGCCUGUUUGAGUGUCAUGAAAUUCUCAACCUUUUCAGCUUUCUUUGUUGAUCAGGCUUGGAUGUGGGAGUAUGCGGGCUUCUCAGAAGUCGGCUCUCCUGAAAUGCAUUAGCGGGACCUUUGUUGCCUGGCUUUGGUGUGAUAAUUAUCUACGCCAUUGUAGUUAAGCAGCUUAAAAUGAGGUUUCAGCUUCUAACCGUCUCCCCUGAGACAACUUUUUGACAAUUUGACCUCAAAUCAGGUAGGACUACCCGCUGAACUUAAGCAUAUCAAUAAGCGGAGGA
rnacentral:misc_RNA from 1 species